rnacentral:rRNA from 1 species
ACGAACGCUGGCGGCGCGCUUAAGCAUGCAAGUCGGACGGUAAGGAAGAGCUUGCUUNUUCCCUAGAGUGGCGGACUGGUGAGGAACGCGUGGGUGACGCACCCUUCGGACGGGGAUAGCCGGUAGAAAUACCGGGUAAUACCGGAUAAGAGCGCCUCCUUAGAGGGAGGCGGAGAAAGCGGCUUCGGCCGCGCCGGAGGAACGGCCCGCGUUGGAUUAGCUAGUUGGCAGGGUAACGGCCUACCAAGGCGACGAUCCAUAGCCGGCCUGAGAGGGUGAACGGCCACAUUGGGACUGAGACACGGCCCAAACUCCUACGGGAGGCAGCAGUGGGGAAUAUUGCACAAUGGGGGAAACCCUGAUGCAGCGACGCCGCGUGAAGGAAGAAGUAUUUCGGUAUGUAAACUUCUAUCAGCAGGGAAGAAAAUGACGGUACCUGACUAAGAAGCCCCGGCUAACUACGUG